UACGGAGGGGGCUAGCGUUGUUCGGAAUUACUGGGCGUAAAGCGCGCGUAGGCGGCUUUGUAAGUUAGAGGUGAAAGCCCGGAGCUCAACUCCGAAAUUGCCUUUAAGACUGCAUCGCUAGAAUCAUGGAGAGGUGAGUGGAAUUCCGAGUGUAGAGGUGAAAUUCGUAGAUAUUCGGAAGGACACCAGUGGCGAAGGCGACUCACUGGACAUGUAUUGACGCUGAGGUGCGAAAGCGUGGGGAGCAAACAGG
rnacentral:rRNA from 1 species